rnacentral:lncRNA from 1 species
AUGAUUGAGCAUGCAUUAUAUAAAACUAGCCCAGUCCUGGCCCAUGGACUAGUCAUAGCAUAUACCCAUUAACAACAUAAAUGAAAACAUAAUAAUGCAUUAAAAGAUAGAUGAGGAGAAAAGUUUUAAUACAAAGAAAUAACAUUCUCAAUUUGACUAGAAAUCAUAAGACAUUAAAAGAGGGACUAGGAGAUAAGUUUUAACACAAGGAAAUAGCUUUCUAAAUUCAAAUAAAAAUCAUGUUUUCAACACAUAAAAUUUCAACAUAUUCUAGUCAUAUUUUAAAUCAUUCAGAAUAAUAUAUUUUAAAUUUCAGAUCAAAGAAUAUCAAAAA